GUGAAAGGCAGAAUGGAGAAAACCCUCCUGGGAGAGAUCUCAGAGUAUAUUGAAGAGGUGUUUCUUCCUGAUGACUGCUUUAUUCUCGUCAAGCUUUCCCUGGAAUGGCUCUGACUUCUGAGACUGGAGGUGAAUGCUGAGACAGUGCGGUACUCCAUCUGCACAUCCAAGCUCCAAGUGAAGCCUGGUGAUGUGGCUGUUCAUGGUGAGGCCGUGGUGUGUGUCACACCCAGGGAAAACAGCAAGAGCUCCAUGUAUUAUGUGCUGCAGUUUCUGAAAGAGGAUCUACCCAAGGUAAGACCAAGAGUCCUCUCAUGGAUAGAUAGCCAAGAGUGGGGGUGGGGAACAGAG